rnacentral:tRNA from 1 species
GGGCCCGUAGCUCAGCGGUAGAGCAGGGGACUCAUAAUCCCUUGGUCGCUGGUUCGAAUCCAGCCGGGCCCA